UGUUUGUUUGUUUGCUGUUGCCAUGGGUGUGGUGUUAAGUCUGGUAGCAUGUUGCCUCUGGCAUUGUUCUUUUUGCUUAAGAUUGCUUUGGCUAUUCAGG